UACGGGGGGAGCAAGCGUUGUUCGGAUUUACUGGGCGUAAAGGGCGCGUAGGCGGCCAGCACAAGUCAGUUGUGAAAUCUCCGAGCUUAACUCGGAAAGGUCAACUGAUACUGUGCGGCUAGAGUGCGGAAGGGGCAACUGGAAUUCUUGAUGUAGUGGUGAAAUGCGUAGAUAUCGGGAGGAACACCAGUGGCGAAGGCGGCUUUCUGGUCUGCUCUUGACGCUGAGGCGCGAAAGCUAGGGUAGCAAACGGG
rnacentral:rRNA from 1 species